GAACCUGCCUCAAAGAGGGGGACAACAGUUGGAAACGACUGCUAAUACCGCAUAAGCCCACGACCCGGCAUCGGGAAGAGGGAAAAGGAGCAAUCCGCUUUGAGAUGGCCUCGCGUCCGAUUAGCUGGUUGGUGAGGUAACGGCCCACCAAGGCGACGAUCGGUAGCCGGACUGAGAGGUUGAACGGCCACAUUGGGACUGAGACACGGCCCAGACUCCUACGGGAGGCAGCAGUGGGGAAUAUUGCACAAUGGGGGAAACCCUGAUGCAGCGACGCCGCGUGGAGGAAGAAGGUCUUCGGAUUGUAAACUCCUGUUGUUGAGGAAGAUAAUGACGGUACUCAACAAGGAAGUGACGGCUAACUACGUGCCAGCAGCCGCGGUAAAACGUAGGUCACAAGCGUUGUCCGGAAUUACUGGGUGUAAAGGGAGCGCAGGCGGGCGAUCAAGUUGGAAGUGAAAUCCAUGGGCUCAACCCAUGAACUGCUUUCAAAACUGGUCGUCUUGAGUAGUGCAGAGGUAGGCGGAAUUCCCGGUGUAGCGGUGGAAUGCGUAGAUAUCGGGAGGAACACCAGUGGCGAAGGCGGCCUACUGGGCACCAACUGACGCUGAGGCUCGAAAGUGUGGGUAGCAAACAGGAUUAGAUACCCUGGUAGUCCACACCGUAAACGAUGAUUACUAGGUGUUGGGAGAUUGACCCUCUCAGUGC
rnacentral:rRNA from 1 species